GUUGGCUGCCAUGUUAUGAGGAGAAGCCCAUGUGGCAAGGAAUUUGGCUUCCUACCGAAAGCCAGUUAGGAACUGAGGACUUCUGCAAUAGACAAAUCCAGCAGGAAAUUGUAGAAGGGACGAUGCAAGCCCAGUUGCUGCCUCUGGAGAGCAACGACUGAUGUCGCCUGCAGCUGAGAAACCUCCUAGCUGAUAGGUCAAGAUCACAAAUGGAUAAAUUCUGUCCUGAUCCCACUCCCACAGGAUUUCAAUUCAUUGAGCUCUUAGUUCGUUACUGACCCAAAUAAAAUGUGCAAGACUCUC